rnacentral:lncRNA from 1 species
GAGCUGCGAGGGAGGAUGGGAGGUUCAGAGUAGGAGGAGCAGCAGCAGCUGGACUGGCCUCCCACUUCCCACCCUCUGAGGGCUGCCAUAGGGGCUUCCCGAGCAAAAGCACCCAUCAGGUGCUGGGAUAAAGCCCGGAGCAGGAGGAGACUGCAGGAGAAGCCAGAUCAUCCGAGUCACCGGGUGCUGAGCCAGCGCCUCCUGGGGUCAAUCGAGACUCAAGACUUGGAACACUACUCGUGCAGAAGCCAGCAAGGGGUCUGGCUCUGUCAUCAGGUCUCCUUGGAGAGCGGUGAGUUCACCAGGGCUGCCCUGGGCAGAGUGAGCUGGUGCUGAGAGAACUGCAACUGUGACAGCCUAGGGGCCAGACGCUGGACACGUGGCUGUGAUGAAUGGCAUAGAUGAGAGACCGCCACACCUCGCCUCACCCGCCUCCCUCCACACCUGCUUGCGUGCCCACCUCCUCGUAGUCGUUCUCCGGGGUCAGGAAAUCAUCCACGAUGGUGACCCGGGGGCCCAGCUGCUCGCUCAGCACGUCCAGGAAGCGGAGAAACCAGGCCAUACAGAGAUAGGAGCUGAAGGGACACGGUGAGAAGUGACCAAAAGACAAGAGUGUGAGCCCUCCGUUAUGCCUGGACAGGGCCACUAGAGGGCUCCCUGGUCUACUGGUAACGCCAGUGCCUGGGAAGGCACCCGUUGCUUAGCAGACCGGGAAAGGGAGUCUCCCUUUCCUGGUGGAGUUAAAGAAGACUCUGCUCCACCACUGCUUGCCCGCCCGCAGCCACCCAGAGGCCUAACGCUGUCCCUGUGAUGCUGUGCUUCAGUGGUCACGCUCCUGGUCCGCAUUCAUGUUCUGCCCUGUGCACUCGGCUCCACCUUCUAGAUAGCAGCAGCAGAAUUAGUGAAAGUACUAAAGUCUUUAAAAUGCAUAGAAGAAAUAAUUACGUAAGCUGUCCCCUCUUUCUCUCCGCCUCAGCUACCAAAUAGGGAAGGGCCCCCUGUCUGGCGGACACGUGACUCACAUGACCUUACCUAUCAUUGGAGAUGACUCUCACUCCAUACCCUGCCCCUUUGCCUUGUACACAAUAAAUAACAGCACGGCCAGGCAUUCGGGGCCACUACUGGUCUCCGCGUCUUGGUGGUAGUGGUCCCCCGGGCCCAGCUGUCUUUUCUUCUA